rnacentral:rRNA from 1 species
AACGAACGCUGGCGGCAUGCCUAACACAUGCAAGUCGAACGAGACCUUCGGGUCUAGUGGCGCACGGGUGCGUAACGCGGGGGAACCUGCCCUUAGGUUCGGAAUAACUCCCCGAAAGGGGUGCUAAUACCGGAUAAUGUCUUCGGACCAAAGAUUUAUCGCCUUUGGAUGGGCCCGCGUUGGAUUAGCGAGUUGGUAGGGUAAAAGCCUACCAAGGCGACGAUCCAUAGCUGGUCUGAGAGGAGGAUCAGCCACACUGGGACUGAGACACGGCCCAGACUCCUACGGGAGGCAGCAGUGGGGAAUAUUGGACAAUGGGCGAAAGCCUGAUCCAGCAAUGCCGCGUGAGUGAGGAAGGCCGUAGGGUUGUAAAGCUCUUUUACCCGGGAUGAGAAUGACAGUACCGGGAGAAUAAGCUCCGGCUAACUCCGUG